GGGGAAUAUUGCACAAUGGGCGAAAGCCUGAUGCAGCAACGCCGCGUGAGUGAAGAAGGUUUUCGGAUUGUAAAGCUCUGUCAUCUGGGACGAUAAUGACGGUACCAGAUGAGGAAGCCACGGCUAACUACGUGCCAGCAGCCGCGGUAAUACGUAGGUGGCAAGCGUUGUCCGGAUUUACUGGGCGUAAAGGGAGCGUAGGUGGAUAUUUAAGUGGGAUGUGAAAUACUCGGGCUUAACCUGGGUGCUGCAUUCCAAACUGGAUAUCUAGAGUGCAGGAGAGGAAAGUAGAAUUCCUAGUGUAGCGGUGAAAUGCGUAGAGAUUAGGAAGAACACCAGUGGCGAAGGCGGUUCUCUGGACUGUAACUGACGCUGAGGCACGAAAGCGUGGGUAGCAAAC
rnacentral:rRNA from 1 species